GGAAACACCCUCGGAGCAGAGGCAGAGCCAGAGAGCAGGUGGCCGAGCGGCCUCCGCUGUCCGCCUCCCUUCCCCCCCCCCGACCCACUUAGACGUGAGCUUGAAGGGCGCCCCGCGGCCCUGGCUGGGCCUGCUGGACUGCAGGGGCCCUGGAGGGGAAGAGGGUUGGCCUCACCCUGCUCGGCUUUCUCUGCAGACCGCCGCUGGGCUGGGCCUCCAGGAGCCGGGCCACCGCUUCCUCCGCUGGACCACGCACUUCCCGGGAGAGUCUCCGAUCGUGGCCAAGAUGAGCUGCUGUCUGGAUUCUCAUUUCUACGCCAUCAGCACUGCAAAUACUUGCCAAGACCACCUUUCUUUAUUUGGCCACCUCUCUCCAUUCUUUCUCUCUAAUGCCUCCCCCGGUCCAGAACCGAGGCCCCAAGAUGCUGCCCAGUGACCUCCUGGAGCCCCAAUGUGCUGAGAGCCUGUGCUCGAUGACAGACUUCACCGGGGGCCUGAUGUUUGUUUGCUAGUCACACUUCCGUCCAGACCCGUUUCAGACAUCUCUCCUCCAUGAGCUCUCCUGACUCCUCAGCUAAGUGAUCUUUCCCUCUUGUUUACGUGGUCACACCGCCAUUUUCAUGGCACUUACCAAGGUCCAUGUUUUUACUUUCUAGUCAUCUUUACCCACACCACCUCCUGGACCUGACUGUAAAGUAAGGACCACUGAACUUCAUGUCUCAGAAGUAAUGCUAUGUAAUGCAUAUCUAAUAAAUAAACAAAGGGGUGAUAUGUCCAUGAAUGUAUUUUCUUAUGAUGGUAUUUUAGUGUGGCUGCCAA
rnacentral:lncRNA from 1 species